AUAAUGCGCCCUGUUGCUCCUUCCACAUUCCUCACCUUACUCCCGCAAAAUCUCUUCCGACAGCCAUGAUUGAUGCUUAGGGCCCUAAACCAGCUCGAUCCAUUAGAGCUUGCUUAUGCUGGAUAUAGUUGUUCUGUUGGAUUGCAAGAAGAAGCACUGCGUCCAACUUUGAAGAUUUGUGGGCUGAGUUAUAUUGCAUUUCAGGUUCAGGGACCACAUCUCCUGUUCGAUGCAUCUCUAAUCUCUUAUUGAAUUUUCUGGUAACUUUCUACGUCAGUGCUAAGUGCUUGCGUUAAUUCCCCAACUGAACGAGGAGGACAGAACAUGUGUGAGAGGGGGGGUAUAUAUUUUCAUCAUCUCCAAACAAGUUGUUACUUUAUACUGUAGUAUAUUGAUGGAUUAUUCGUACGUGGAGGUCCGGUAACAAUUUUUUUGUGGCGGCUCUUAGUUUAUAGAUGAUCUAAACUAUUUGACUGAAUUCCAUUUUUGGGUGAAUGUUGUCCAUAAAAUUGCGUCUCUUCUACAUUAUGGAAACUCGCCAUCAUCUAUUUCUGCAACAUUCCUAAAAUAUGCAUCUGUUUUCAGAAAGAUAACUUAUGAAUAUGACUCGUCUUCAUCUCGGCUGAGUUUUAAUUUGGAAGCACCAAAUGUUUCUCUACAAUGUAUGUAUGACAACAGUGGCUGGCUUGCAACUUACUUAGUGUGUAGUUCUCCUGUAUAUUUAUGACUGCUUACUGACUUGCCCAUACAAGUUCACAGUUCAUGGUCUUUCUUAAGAAUAUUUUUUCAGGCUGCUAAGCUCCCUUUGAAUAAACUGGAUGCACACCAUCAUGGGCUAUCCAGAAAUCCAGAUCCAAACACGCACAUCUUCAAAUGCAUUUGGAAAGCUCAUGUUAUGCAAAUUUUAAAAAGUUUUGUUCUUUGUCCAAAAACAAGUGAGCAUUUGAACAAGAUGGAUCGUUAAAAGCGACACAGCUCAUAGGAAAUGGGGUGCACCACUAGAACAUUGGUCCUUCUAUAUAAUCGAGACUUGAAAGCAGCUUACUGAUUUCGACUAAAAGGAUUUGGGGCUUCAGAAACCAAUUAGUUUGUUGUCAAAAUCUGCAUAUUUGUAUCACUUCCUUGCAAUUUCUUUUGGAUAAAUCCUGAAAGAUAUUAUUUCGUUGAA